UGUGGUUCAUAAAAGUGCUAACUUUUAUUUCAUUUUCCCUCAAUGUUUUGUCUAAGACAAAAAACAUUGGUUGUUACAGUAUUGAUGCUCGUGAAUUCUCACACUAUUUUAUUCCAUGUUCAAGUUGUAAUUUCUGUGGAGAACAGAGAGUUGUCCCAAAGAGCAGCUGAAGAGACACAGAACACUUACAGAUUGCUUAAAGAAGUCAGUGGUCCCAAGUCAUUACAAGUGAGUCAUAUCUACUUGAUUACAGUCAGUAAAGCUCACACAACACUGAAGGUGGAAAUCAAGAAACACACAACCAGUUUUAACAAUGACAUCUACAUGAACACAGAAUCAAACACUCAUUCACACCAGACAUACACACACACGUAAGCACACCACAUACUCACUCACACACAAGAGCACGCACACAGACACACACCAAAGUACAAUCUCUCCAGUUAUUUGGAUUGAAAACAACAAUUUCACACUAAUAUCUUUACAUCAUAAAUCUACAGACACAAUAAGGGUACAUUACAUACAAAAAUCUGAAAUAUCUCAAAAUAUACAAUUAUUAUAUACAGCUCAAGUAUUCACCUUGUCACUUACGCUAUAGAUAUCUUCAUUGUGAAUUGACAGAAUGUACAUCAAUGCCUACAGAGUAAAUAUACAGAAUAAAAGGGGGAGGUUCAGAAUUCUACAACUUGAUGUUCCAUGGUUCCUCACCCUGAAAGUAGUCUAUGGGCCAGGAGAAACAGUUAUCCACGGAUCGGUUUUCUUCAAACAGCUAAUACAAACUGCAGCUAACUACAGCUACUACUAGCUAUAACACUCAAUGGAAGUGAAUGGGGCAUAAAGACUCAUUCCAGGGUGAGGAAUCCUCUAACAUCAAAUGGUACAUUCCUGAGCUUCCCCUGUAAGUACUGUAGUUUAGUUAUUGAUCAAUCACAGAAUAAAGCAUAUUAUCACUAUUAAGUAAAUUAAUACACUAUCACUGUUAUUUUGAGAGAAAUCGAGUUAGUCUACACAUGAUUAAUUUAUGGUACUUGUACAAGGCAGUAAUGAGACAGUAAUAAUACAUACAGGCCAUCUGGAGUUGACAUUACAUCACCUCAAUAAGUGAUGAAGGGAAUUGAACGUCCUUUUAGGCAAAUUGUCUAGUAAAAGCCAUGGCCCCUAUUUAGAUCCACAUCUGUGCUAUUCACACACUACUCGCUUUGGGUGGAGAUUGAAUACAUGAAGGUGCUUCUACAGAUACAUGGUAUUCUGACCUUGACUUAAUUCCCUCAUAACUCUUCCAGCUUUAUGUGAAAGGAAAGCAUUAAUAAAAGGUGGACAAAGUAUCAUUUUUUUUUUUUUUUCAGAUUGAAAUAACACCAACUUGAUAAGAGCUAUCGACAAGAGUUAGGUAUUUAAGUAAUCCGUUUUGGAUAAGGGAAAUGUAAAUAUAAAUUACGCUUGUUUUAGAUCUAUUGAACCAUAUAAUCGCUGGAGACAAAUGUGAAACCAGUCAUAUGGCAGCAAAAAAAUGAAGCAUAUCAACUUUCCCACAAGUAAUCUGUUGGGGUGGCAGGUAGCCUAGUGGUUAGAGCUGUUGGACUAGUAACCGGAAGGUUGCAAGAUUGAAUCCCCGAGCUGACAAGGUAAAAAUCUGUUGUUCUACCCCUGAACAAGGCAGUUAACCCAUUGUUCCUAGGCUGUCAUUGAAAAUAAGAAUUUGUUCAUAACUGACUUGCCUCGUUAAAUAAAUAAAAUAAUUUUAUGCAGGUAUGAAAUUGUACAUCCUUUUAACUUGCAGGUAUGGGCACUCUGGAACGUUGUAAUUAUAGGCUACCCCGACUUUCUCUGUCUCCUCGUUUCUAUCAUGUUAAACACCACUAUCAGUAUUGACUGUCAGUUGGCCUAAUAACCACACAUAUUCAACUGCCAAUUUAAACGGUUAGUUCCCUUCAGUUGGUGUAGCCUACAUUAUCAUUCCAUUUAAUUACAUUGUUUCGUUUACCUUUAGUUUCGUCCUCUGUAAACGGCGUCACGACCACGUCGUUGUUGCUG
rnacentral:lncRNA from 1 species